CGAACGCUGGCGGCGUGCUUAACACAUGCAAGUCGAACGAUGAAGUGGAGCUUGCUCCACGGAUUAGUGGCGAACGGGUGAGGAACACGUGAGAAACCUGCCUCGGAUUUUGGGAUAACAAGUGGAAACGUUUGCUAAUACCAAAUAACGUCGGAGAGUCACAUGACUUUCUGACGAAAGGAAUUCCGAUUCGAGAGGGUCUCGCGGCCUAUCAGCUUGUUGGCGGGGUAAUGGCCCACCAAGGCAACGACGGGUAGCUGGUCUGAGAGGAUGGUCAGCCACACUGGGACUGAGACACGGCCCAGACUCCUACGGGGAGGCAGCAGUGGGGAAUCUUGCGCAAUGGGCGAAAGCCUGACGCAGCAACGCCGCGUGCGGGAAGAAGGCUUUCGGGCUGUAAACCGCUUUCAGCAGGAACGAAAUGACGGUACCUGCAGAAGAAGGAGCGGCCAACUAUGUGCCAGCAG
rnacentral:rRNA from 1 species